GGACGAACGCUGGCGGCGUGUCUUAACACAUGCAAGUCGAGCGGUAAAGGUCCUCGUCGGGGUACACGGAGCGGACGAAACGGGUGAGUAACACGUGGGUGACCUGCCUUUAGCUUCGGGAUAAGCCUGGGGAAACUGGGUCUAAUACCGGAUAUGACCUCAUGUCGCAUGGUGUGGGGUGGAAAGUUUUUCGGCUAGAGAUGGGCCCGCGGCCUAUCAGCUUGUUGGUGGGGUGGAUGGCCUACCAAGGCGACGACGGGUAGCCGGCCUGAGAGGGCGACCGGCCACACUGGGACUGAGAUACGGCCCA
rnacentral:rRNA from 1 species